rnacentral:rRNA from 1 species
UACGUAGGGUGCGAGCGUUGUCCGGAAUUAUUGGGCGUAAAGAGCUCGUAGGCGGUGUGUCACGUCGGCCGUGAAAACCUGCAGCUUAACUGUGGGCGUGCGGUCGAUACGGGCAUCACUGGAGUUCGGCAGGGGAGACUGGAAUUCCUGGUGUAGCGGUGAAAUGCGCAGAUAUCAGGGAGGAACACCGGUGGCGGAAGGCGGGUCUCUGGGCCGAUACUGACGCUGGAGAACACGGAAAGCCGUGGGUAGCAAACACGGA